AGGAUGAACGCUGGCGGCGUGCUUAAGACAUGCAAGUCGAACGCAGAGCUGAUAGCAAUAUUGGUUCUGAGUGGCGAAUGGGUGCGUAACACGUAGGUGACCUGCCCUGAAGUGGGGAAUAACAGUCCGAAAGGACUGCUAAUACCGCAUACGGUUCAAGGCGUUAGAGAACUUGAACCAAAGGUCGUAAGAUCGCUUCAGGAGGGGCCUGCGGCCCAUCAGUUAGUUGGUAGGGUAACGGCCUA
rnacentral:rRNA from 1 species